ACAAGGGUGGGUUGGUUACCAUGUGAGUGGGCUUGUUAUAAAAGCAAGUUCAGCCUCCUCUUGCUCUUGCUCUCUUGCCCUUCUGCCUUUUGCCAUGAGAUGACACCAGAUGCAGACCCCUCAACCUUGUACUCCUCAGUCUCCAGAACUCUUUAAAGUUGUUAGGGUGAUUAAAUAAGAGAAUGUAUACAAAGGACAAGAUACUAAUUUUGACACAGACAGGACUCAGGGAAGUCAUAUUCUUAAGUAACUGAAACCACAGAAAGCAAAACUGUGGGUAGGGGUGAACUACUGUACAUGUAUACACUGUGAAAUGAUUACCACAAUCAAGCUAAUUAACGUAUCCAUCAUCUCACAAAGUUAUCUAUUGUAUGUGUGUGUGUGUGUGUGGUGAGAAUUCUUUAGAUGUACUCUCUUAGCAAAUUUCAAGUAUGCAAUAUGUUAUUAUUAACUAUAGUCACCAUACUGUAUAUUAGGCCUUCAGAAUUUAUUAGUCUUAUAGCUGAAAAUUUGUACCAUUUGACCAACAUCUUCCAUUUUUUCCACAGCUUCACCCCUGCUUCUGAGUUUGACUCCUCUCCUUUCCGCUUCUGUUUGACAUUUUUAGAUUCCACAUAUAAGUGAAAUUAUUCAGUAUUUGUCUUUCAGUGUCUGGCUUAUUUCUCUUAUUAUAAUAUAGUACAAUAUGAUAGAGCCGGUGGGAGAAGCAUGAAAUGCAUUUGCAGUGGCCUUGGGCCAUUGGUGGUGUCCGCAGGUGCGACAUCUCAAGUGCCUCAUGGACAAACUUCCUCAUGGAAUCCACUGGAGCAAUUAUGAGAGUCCACGGCCUCUCUUCUCUGGUUCUACCCUCUCUCAAUCUCUCACCUGUGCCGAUCACCUCAGUAAUUUGGACCAGAAAAUCUUUCUCUUCCAGUCAGUGUGAUUCAUUUAUGACCAGCGGUUGAAUCCAGUCAUAAAAUCUGAAGCUCCUGGGUACCUCUACAUCAUUGGGCCUAUGAUACACUGUUUCAGAACGUACUUACACAUGGGGUGGGAUGAUUUUCUUAACUAAUACUUGUGACUACUCCACAGUACAGCUGGAAGCAAAAGUAUUGGGUGAGCUAUCUUCCAAAAUCUGGAGAUGGUUUCGGAGAGAGUAUCAUUGCCAUAAAUUUAAAGGGGGAUUGGAUUUACUCAGGAAAAAUUGCAAGUGAGCGUAGGAGAUAAACUAGUAAAUGUCAUAUUUGGCCCACCAGGCACAAAGAAGGGCUAUAAUUGGCUCCUUUAAGUCCUAUAUGCAGAUAUCAAAUCCCUAUACUUGCUCUUUUUUGUAUAGAAUAAAUUUACCUCUCUCCUUACUUUGAAACAUGAAAUGAGGAUCAAAUUAUA
rnacentral:lncRNA from 1 species